rnacentral:rRNA from 1 species
AUGAACGCUAGCGGCAGGCUUAACACAUGCAAGUCGAGGGGUAGUCUAGCAAUAGAUGAGACCGGCGCACGGGUGCGUAACGCGUAUGCAACCUACCUUUUACAGGGGAAUAGCCCAGAGAAAUUUGGAUUAAUGCCCCAUGGUAUAUUUGAGUGGCAUCACUUGAUUAUUAAAGUUCCAACGGUAAAAGAUGGGCAUGCGUCCUAUUAGCUGGAUGGUAAGGUAACGGCUUACCAUGGCUACGAUAGGUAGGGGUCCUGAGAGGGAGAUCCCCCACACUGGUACUGAGACACGGACCAGACUCCUACGGGAGGCAGCAGUGAGGAAUAUUGGACAAUGGGCGCAAGCCUGAUCCAGCCAUGCCGCGUGCAGGAAGAAGCAUCUAUGGUGUGUAAACUGCUUUUGUACGGGAAGAAACACUCCUACGUGUAGGAGCUUGACGGUACCGUAAGAAUAAGGAUCGGCUAACUCCGU